CACAAACCCUAUCCCAAUCCUCCCCAAUCCCGCAGCCACUGCCUCCCCAGCUCCCGCAGCCGCCGCCUCCCUAGCUCCCGUUCUCCGCCACUGGUCUCCUCUCCGGCUGGCGUCAUCGGCGGCGUCCUCCCAGCGCGGCCGUCUCUGGAUGGGCAGGUGGUGGCCGGCGGGAGCAACGUCGCCGCCUCCCUAGCUCCCGCUCUCCGCCACUGGUCUCCUCUCCGGCUGGCGUCAUCGACCGCGUCCUCCCAGCGUGGCCAUCUCUGGACGGGCAGGUGGUGGCCGGCGGGAGCAGCGUCGCCGCCACGCGCCAUGCCGUCGCUGGGAGGAGCUGGUGCACAUCGUGCUGUCACAGAGAAGAGAUUUGGGGUCACCUUGGUGGUGCUCAGCAGAAGACACCGGUGAGAACUAGGAGGAGUAAGAGGACGGGAAAAAAAGAUGGAGCAGCAAGACUACAAAAGUGGAGUAGGCAGAGAUGUGGAGGAGCCAGAAACAUUGUGGCUUGGUUCUUUCUUGUGAGGUCCCUCUCACAAGGGAAGUAGGGACACUUCGUGGCAUGGGAAACCAACGAGAAAAGCACACUUCUUGAGUGAUGCUCCAAUAUCACGGAGUCUUAGGUCCGCUCAAUGAAUAGCAAUGAAAAUCUUCCUCCACUAGCAAGUGAGAACCGGAGGGGAAGAGGAAGAUGCAUAGAGGGAGAUUGAAAGGAGGACAAUAUAGUCCAAGCGAGGAGGAAGAGGAGACCUACUGUGGCGCGGAGCAUCACUGGCCGAUGAUUGUGAUGAGAGAAUCACACCCAGAUAAUAGCCUCCAGCUACAGUAAGCUCAUUCCAUUCAGCUCCUAAGUUGUCUACUUAGUUUCUUAUUUAUUCCACAGGUAGCAAAUUGGUAGAAAGUUUGGUUCAGUGAUUUAUGUGAGCUGCAAAGAUAACAUCACUGUUCGUUUCUUGUUCGUUUCUUAUUCGUUGUGUAAGAUAUUCAUAGGCGCAAGCCACUGUCCCAGAAAACUAAGGGAGAUGCACAACCAUAAGAAGAGGAACUCAAUCAGGAACAAUUAUACUGUCUCGUCCCUUCCCGUAUUCACAUGCAUCAGAAUAGCAGUUUAUUCUUUGUCUUACUGGAAUGGUUUGUAGUUACUAAUUUCUUCCUGCAGUCUAUUGAACAUUUCAAAGAUGGUUACUGGUUUUUGUGGUUUUACUCACCGAUCUUUCCUGGAUGCUAAAUCAAGGCUUGCUUAUUUUAAUUCCUAUUUCUUUUGAAAAAUAUCAUAACAUCGUUAUUUGUAAGAAUUUUUUGUCGGCAGUUCUCAAUUGCUUGAUAUCCCAACAUACUAUUACACAAAUACUGAAAUUAUAUUGGUUUCUCAAUAUAAGCUCUUUGUUUUCUUUAGUUUUACCUUAAUAUGCUAUGAAAAUACGAAUCAAGAAUGUAGCUUGUUUCUCGAUUAACUGAUUAGAGUAACUAUUGUAAAAAGGGCGGUCAGUGCAAUUGCCAUCGCUCACUUACACUAUAUCAGCCGAGUGACCAGGCCAGAUUUGAAAAUAUAAUUAUGUACUUAACUAGACAAGUUUAAUAUUUAUAUUCUCAGGUUUUUGGCAGUGCCUUAUUUGGUUCUUCUCAGUUGAACUGAUUAACAUGAGCUUUGGUUAAGCGAAUUUCUGUCAUGGCAUGCUGAGAGCUGGAGCGGGCUGGAUCUGGAGCAUAGCGUAAUAUCAUAAGUAUCCAUGAUUCCCCUCUUCCAAAAUCGUUUUAGAUUCUGUUUCAUGGCUUCUUAUUGAUUUAUGUAUAUUUGUGUGCUUAUUUGUGAGAAGGAGCUGCAGGUGACACGUGCAUCGUUUUAGAUUCUGUUUGCUGGUGAUCAACGAUAGUCACUAAUUAAUAACUACAUUUUUGGCAUAUUCACCUUUAUAAAUAGUUAUGCCUUUAUUUUAUUAAUGAAUCAUAUAUUUUCGUUUCAAGUUGUUUACUUUGGUUGAACAUGCACUGCAGAUGACAGAUGAAAGGACGAUGGAUUACUGGUUGGCUGGGAUGUAUUUCUUCAGGUUGCACAUGUCACCUUCACUCAAGCCAGAGUGCAUUGGUAACGUUUUCAUGGUAUUUCUACUUAAAGAUUGUUCCGAUUGGGUUUAUUUCAUGGAAUUAGUCUACAAAUUUCCCUCACUAUCUUAUGCAACUUUAGCAUUAGAGGAGAGUGCUAAGGGUUGUGAAAAAACCAUGCACCCUCCAGAUUGCUCACCUGGGCUCAACAACAUAAAUUAUGAGAAUAUUGUUGAUUAUAGUUCACAAUUUAUUCGACUAGGAAGUUGCUAAAUGUUCAGUGCUUUAGUGAUACCGAUGAGAAAUGCCGGUGUAUUGGUUACAUUUUUUUAGGUAUACAUGGAUAUUAGCUAAAUAGAGGUUUCUGCAAUAAUUACUUUACAAUUUCUGCAGUUUAGUCAUUAGUAUAAAUUCCCUCAGAUAUAAUGUGGAGGUUUUCUUUUUUGCUAUGAACUUGUGGUGCUCUACUACCUAUAGAUUCUGGUCACAAUGACAACAUGAUCGACUAAGCCAGCGAGGUUUUCUUUUUUGCUAUGAACUUGUGGUGCUCUACUACCUAUAGAUUCUGGUCACAAUGACAACAUGAUCGACUAAGCCAGCAAGACCACAGGGACAAGUUUAGGUAAACAUUGUGGAAAUUUCCUUCUUUAAGUUCACGUCGUCUAUUUUAUUUGAUUCUUUUCUUCAUAGAAUUUGGGUGCUUAAAUUAUGGGGCUUAAAAAUUAUUGGAGGGAGGAUGGGAAAUUAUAACUAUAGUUACAUGCCCAGGUAAGGAAUGAAUAUUUGGUUUCUGUGUAAAUGUGUAUACUGCAGCAUCACUUCCUUAGUAUGGCAACAUAACCAGAUUCAGGCUCUUGCUCAUGCAACUCGAAAUCCACAGCAUAUUCAUUUUUAUAUUCAGUAAAACCUAUUUCCGGAUUUGUAACUUAUUGUAGGCUUAUUUUUCUAGCAAGCAACUGUAAUUAUUUAUCCUCCACGAGAACACUACCUGCUAGCACAUGCUCACGUUUGCUGUUUUACCGAAGUGACAUGCAUGAGCAUCUCUGAAAAUUUAGUAAAUGCAUAUCCUGAAAGUUAGAACUGCUCUAGCAUUGCUCUGCAUGUUGUCAUUCUAUUGUGUGCUUGUGUGAAUACGGAUAUAUUGUAAUCAUGCCACUGUUAGGCCAGGGAGUAGACCAAUACUUUUGUACUUGAGUUCUUUUUGUCGGUUGAGCAACUGAACUUGAGGAUCCAGAAUUAGUUUUCACUUGCCAAUACAUUUUCAUAAGGCCUAGCAUGUACUUGAGGACCCAGAAUCUUUUUGUCGGUUGAGCAACUGAACUUGAGGACCCAGAAUCUUAGUGCUUAAGCAUUUCUAUUGUAAAAUGUUUUCAUAUCCGUUGGAAUAAUUGUGUUUUUGUUCAUGUUUGAGGUUUAAGAUUUCAAGAACCUGACUACAUGUUAUGACUAGGUCAUCAAGUGUUGCAAGGAUCAGCUAUUCUGAGACUGGAAUAAUUUCAAGGUUAUGGUAUUUUUUUGGUUAAUGCUCAUACUUGUUUUUUAUAUUCUUGGCAUAACAUAUCAGUUGGGGUAUAGUCGACCAUAACAUGGUUUUCUAUAUUGGUAGGCAGAACCAAUUUCUGUCCAAUAUAGAAUUGGUGGCGGAGAACAUGGUCACUUUCGAGUUUGGACUAUUUUUCUUCUCAAUUGUUUUCUAUUUAUCUGUAUUGGAGUAUUUCCAUUGCUGAUUCCGUAAGAUUAUUUGAAUGUAAUUAUUAUUAUGAUUCAACAAGUAGGUUGAGUGGCCUCAAGUAGUUCAGAUAUAAUAUGGUUCAGAUAUAAAUCAAGUGACCUCGAGUAUCACAAGUGUAGUUCAGGCAUAUAGAACUCUUUCAGGUGUUUAUCUAUAAAAGCCUACUUGAUAUUUUCGCAUUAUUUCAGAUAUAGUAUGGAGUUUAUCUUUUUUCCACGAAUUUAAUGUGCUCUGAUAUGUGCAGAUUACAAUAAUGAUGAUAAGCUAGCCUCAAGUAGUCCUCUCCCUCUCCCUCUCCCUCUGGAAAAUGUUUGGGUGAUCUGAUAAUGGCCCAUUUGAUCCUUCUUCUGAAAGUAAAUUGGCUACAUUAGGUAAGCGUUAGUAAUUAAUCUAUGUUUCUUUCCAGUUUCUCCCAUUAUGCAUAGUAUGGUGAGCAAUGGUCUACUCUAAAAUACCAUUGAGACAGUAAAAAUGGCAAGAAGGGUUUGAGUGGCAUCUGAUCUCGCUGCUGGUAAUCAACAAUCAUAUUCUUGGCAUCAAUGCUUUCCAGGCAGGGCUAACAUUUCAAUGGGAGCAAAGCAUCCCAAAAUCGUUGUAUUGGGAGCUGGUAGGAAGUUUGCCAUAUGAGAGUACCUACAAGUUGCAGAUUAUCCACUUACUUGCAUGCGAGAAAUUGACAGAAAGCGGCAACAAAUUGCGAACUAGAGUAUAUGGUCAGAACGAAUUGAGUAUUCAGAAGGGCAAGGAGCACCACUGAUAGGAGGAGAGAAUGCAUCGACGGGAGAAAGAGAAGGGGACAGUCAGGCAGUCACGGUCAUGCGAAACAGUGAGGUUGAUUAGGUGGAGUAUGGAAUGAUUCGGCAAGGCGGUAGGCCUGUCAGGUUCCGGCCGCAAGCGCCUUGCAUUGGGACUUGGGAAAGUAGUAACUCUGAAGUGGUACCGCGCUUUUCAGAUUGCCAAUAGACAAUAGUACCACUCUACAUACGAGCAGUUCUCAAUAUUAAUCAGAGUGUGGAGGCCAUCCAUGCUACAGUUUUCAGUUGUCUUUGCAGGCGAGAAGCCGGGGAACAGGUGUAUGAUCUCGACACAAAUAUUGUUUCUGUAGUGGAUGAGGAAUACAGAACCCAGCGUGCAGCUAACUCCUUGGGUUCCAAGGGUAUGUUCCAGUUUAUUCAACGAAAGGGGUCUUCGAGGAAUCUUCUGGCUCUCCUUAAGCAUGAUGGUUGAGUUACUAAGGCUUGGCAGGACUCCUGCCAUUGGAGAAGCUAUUGCAUUGCUGUCACAAUUCGGCAUGCUGAGGAUUCAUGAGUAUGAGAAAGAGUUGGGGAUGUAUCUUUACGAGGCAUAUCCGUGCGAGACUAGAUAUGAAUUCAACGAAGCUAAGCAGUUCCUUGGGUAAUAUGGGUUAGAUGAAGAUAAAAUGAUCCGUUGGGACUGAGGUCUACGACAAUGACUCUGAUGGACUGCCUAUGAAUUAUCAAGAAAGUUUUCCUUCUAUGCUAGCUACUCCGUACUUCUGAUGUUUCGUUAUGCGUAGUGAUCUCUGUGAUAAUCAUGUCACUAAAGUUUGAUGUUUCAUCUUACACUAUAUAUAUGUAAAUAAUGGAGCAGCUAGCUCUGCUAUGAACUCACAUGGUACUACUCCUAUCUUAGAACCAUGUAUUUGUACCUAUAUGUAAUGUAUUUCUCCUUCUUUCGGCACAAAUAUGUGGUGUGUUUCUCUA